AGAGAAAUGGGUGUCAGCUAGACCGUUUGGUCAGAAGUGAGUUUUGAGAAGCUGAUUUCCAGCAUAGACAGAUAAACUUUGAUCCACUUCCCCUAGUGAAAGGGAUUUGGGCCCUAAGGCAUUGGGGCUGUUUUCUAGAUCUUUCCUUCCCAUUCCCUGCUACCACCCAAAGCAGAUUAAUUUCAUGGAGGAGAAAUAUUUUCCUAUCUUCACACAUGUGGGAUGAGUGAGCAGCUACAGUUCUGAGGCCACUUGGGACAUGUAUGGCUUGGUGCCUGUUUAACCUUGUUCUCUCUCUGCUGAACUCAAAACUGAGCUGUGAGCUCAAUUACAGAUGCCAACAUACCACAGGCUUUCCAAUACAGCUCUAAAAAUUCAAAACUAUAAACCCUCAAUUUGUGAUUGGCCAAGUAUGCUAUGUAUCAUCCACUGGUAUCCCACAGGCAAAAAAAAUAAAAAUAAAAAUAAAAACCAUUUGCUUCAUAGUUGAUGUUCACCACCUAGUGUGAAUAGAAUGUGUGUGCAUGUGUGUGUGUAUGUGUGUGUGUGUGUGUUCCAAUUGUAUUUGCAUCCGAUUGUUCAUUCAUUAAAACUAUAUAUUGACUAGGAGUUAGGUUUGUGGUUCAGUUAAUAGAGUGCUUGCCAAGCAUGCUGUGGGUUCAAUCCCCACCACCACAUAAUCCCACCACCACGGUGAGACACACUUCUAAUCAUGGCAGUCAGGUGAUGGAACAGGAAGACCAGGAGACCAAGGCCACCCUAUGCUACCUACUGAGCUGGAGGCUACAUAGAACCCUGACCAAAAAUUAAUUUUUAAUGAUUACAAUGACAAUUUUUAGACAUUAUCUUGACUAUUAAACUACUGGGCAAAAGGCUCCAUGGUAGGAAAAAUGAGUAAAUUGUAUGCCCGAACCAGGAACGGCUUUUCCAGAAUACAAACUCUGGCCUGUGUAUACAUAGCUGCCUUCAUCUUUCGGCCUGUGAUCAUUCCUUUCCUGGAACUGCAUUAAGUCUAGAAGAAAACACCUUAGUCUGUAGAGUUGUGGUACACUGAAAGGUGAUCUUCGUUGCUCUCCACUCUCAAGGGACCUCCCGCCAUUUCCUACCUGGAGCUGUGGUGUCCCCGCAAGCUCACAGCUGUCCUAUCGCCUGGUCUUUUCUUCCUGCCCUGACAUCGGCUGGGUCAUCACCAUUCCCAAUCCAUAGUUGCCACCAAGCCUCUCCUGAUCUCCUACGGGCUCUCUUCUCUUCUCCAGUGAAUUCCGUCCUCUCCCUGGAAACUGGGGAAACUGUUGCUUCUUCCAGAAGCCAUUCUAGAGCUGUGUGGAUCAGGACAAGACAGAGGACCAAGGGGCUUUCUGCAGCCACAGGCUGUCCAUCUCCCUUGAGUCUGCAGUUGCUUCGAGAAAACCCCUGUCCCCUACCUAACCCUAACGCACCACGGCUGGGCUGCGAGCUGAAUCGGAGUCCGUUCUCCUGGCCCACCCCAGCAGCCCACACUCUCGCCCCAACAGCCCACACUCUCCUUCUCCUGAGUCACUUCUUCCUCACCAAAUCAGAUGCUUUAACCACCUCAGGCCGGCGCCCGGACUUUGAGCAAGGAUAGAGAUUGGCUCAGAUAACACUGUGUGUCCCCGAUUUGUGGCCUUUGGCUUUCCAAAGCCUCCCUCAUUACUUUCCAUCCAGACACAGAACAGUUAAAGCGGACAGAUAACCAGGGGAGGGGCCGCGAAGGACAAGCAGUGCGCCUGUCAAGGUGUCACCCCAGCACACGGAUCAGAGCCACCGAGAGCCUGCAGAGCAGUGGGAAGGAAGGUCUGGCUAGACAGAAAUGAGAAGGCUCAGCAGAGUGGAAGCAAACCGCUCCUCUUGGGGCCCUGCAGGCAUCCCCUGGCUCCCUUGGGUAUCAAUUUCCUGCCUGGAUUCCUUCCAUCAAUUCCUCAGGGACACAAGCCAUAGAGUCGCAGAGAUUAGUAGUCUCUCUCUGCGACUCCAGACUCAGAGAGAAGUCGUGAGGGAGAGCGCGGGCACCUGGCUUCUGUGUGAGGCAGGACUGUGAGCUCAGGUGAGUCCCGGCUUCUCUCUCUGCCUCGCUGUCUCCCUCCGCAGAGCGGGCUGCAGGUCCCUUCCUCAUACUCUGUGAGAAGCACAAUGAGGUAUCAGGCAUCGUUUUUGAUUAGCAGCAAGUAGUCAGGAUAAACACAGCCUCAACCCUGAAACACACUGCAGAAGUUCUGUGGGAAUAAUUCAAUCUGUGCCUUUUGUUUUUAUGAUGGUUUGAUUACUGCUUU
rnacentral:lncRNA from 1 species